GUGGAUAGCGGAGAAAUUCCAAUCGAACCCGGAGAUAGCUGGUUCUCCUCGAAAUAGCUUUAGGGCUAGCCUCAUGAGAGUCUUAUGGAGGUAGAGCACUGAAUUGCCUAGGGGGCGUCAAAGCUUACCAAAGCAUAUCAAACUCCGAAUGCCAUCAAGAUGAUUCAUGGGAGUCAGACCAUACGAGAUAAGUUGGAUGGUCAAAAGGGAAAGAGCCCAGACCUACAGCUAAGGUCCCAAAGUACGUGUUAAGUGGAAAAGGAUGUGGGGAUUCUAAGACAACUAGGACGUUGGCUUAGAAGCAGCCAUUCAUUGAAAGAGUGCGUAAUAGCUCACUAGUCGAGAGUCCCUGCGCCGAAAAUGUCCGGGGCUGAAACACGACACCGAAGCUUAGGAAUGUGUAAACAUUGGUAGAGGAGCAUUGCUGGCGGGAUGAAGCCAUACCGUAAGGAGUGGUGGACUGCCAGGAAGAGAGAAUGCCGGAAUGAGUAGCGAGAUGAAGGUGAGAAUCCUUCAGGCCGAAUAUCUAAGGUUUCCAGAGUAAAGCUGAUCUGCUCUGGGUAAGUCGGGACCUAAGGCGAGGUCGAAAGACGUAGUCGAUGGAUAACAGGUUGAAAUUCCUGUACCGCAUAUAAACAGAACUGUGGGGACACAGACAGGGAAUGGAAUCCGGGAAUGGAAAUCCCGGUGCAAGCGAGGUAGGAGUGCUGUUGGCAAAUCCGCAGCACGAUCUGAAGACGUGACGCGUACCGAACAUAAGUAGGGAAGUCCAGGCCCCUGGCUGUCAAGAAAAGCCGCUAUCGUUUUAUAUGUGCCCGUACCGCAAACCGACACAGGUGGAUGAGGAGAGAAUCCUAAGGCCGACGGGAGAAGUAUUGUUAAGGAACUCGGCAAAAUGACUCCGUAACUUCGGGAGAAGGAGUGCCAUGAGAGUGGCCGCAGAGAAAUGGCCCAAGCAACUGUUUAGCAAAAACACAGGUCUAUGCAAAACCGCAAGGUGAAGUAUAUGGGCUGACGCCUGCCCGGUGCUGGAAGGUUAAGGGGAGAGGUUAGCGCAAGCGAAGCUUUGAACUUAAGCCCCAGUAAACGGCGGCCGUAACUAUAACGGUCCUAAGGUAGCGAAAUUCCUUGUCGGGUAAGUUCCGACCCGCACGAAAGGCGUAAUGAUUUGGGCACUGUCUCGACAAUGCACCCGGUGAAAUUGAAAUACCAGUGAAGAUGCUGGUUACCUGCGCCAGGACGGAAAGACCCCAUGGAGCUUUACUCCAGCUUGAUACUGGGAUUCGAUAUUGCAUGUACAGGAUAGGUGGGAGACUAGGAGACGGUAACGCCAGUUGCCGUGGAGUCGAUGUUGGGAUACCACCCUUGCAGUAUUGGGUUUCUAACCAGCAGCCGUGAUCCGGCUGGGGGACAAUGUCAGGUGGGGAGUUUGACUGGGGCGGUCGCCUCCGAAAGGGUAUCGGAGGCGCUCAAAGGUUCCCUCAGAAUGGUUGGAAACCAUUCGAAGAGUGCAAAGGCAGAAGGGAGCUUGACUGCGACACCGACGGGUGGAGCAGGUACGAAAGUAGGACUUAGUGAUCCGGUGGUAUGAAAGUGGGAUUGCCAUCGCUCAACGGAUAAAAGCUACCCUGGGGAUAACAGGCUUAUCACUCCCAAGAGUUCACAUCGACGGAGUGGUUUGGCACCUCGAUGUCGGCUCAUCGCAUCCUGGGGCUGUAGUAGGUCCCAAGGGUUGGGCUGUUCGCCCAUUAAAGCGGUACGCGAGCUGGGUUCAGAACGUCGUGAGACAGUUCGGUCCCUAUCCGGCGUGGGCGUAGGAUAUCUGAGAGGAGCUGUCCUUAGUACGAGAGGACCGGGAUGGACUGACCUCUGGUGUACCGGUUGCACUGCCAAGUGCAUGGCCGGGUAGCCAAGUCGGGACGGGAUAAACGCUGAAGGCAUCUAAGCGUGAAGCCCCCCUCAAGAUGAGAUAUCCCAUAGAGUAAUCUAGUAAGACCCCUUGA
rnacentral:rRNA from 1 species